UGGUGAAUAUUGGACAAUGGGCGAAAGCCUGAUCCAGCCAUGCCGCGUGUGUGAAGAAGGUCUUCGGAUUGUAAAGCACUUUAAGUUGGGAGGAAGGGCAGUAAGCGAAUACCUUGCUGUUUUGACGUUACCGACAGAAUAAGCACCGGCUAACUCUGUGCCAGCAGCCGCGGUAAUACAGAGGGUGCAAGCGUUAAUCGGAAUUACUGGGCGUAAAGCGCGCGUAGGUGGUUCGUUAAGUUGAAUGUGAAAGCCCCGGGCUCAACCUGGGAACUGCAUCCAAAACUGGCGAGCUGGAGUAGGGCAGAGGGUGGUGGAAUGUCCUGUGUAGCGGUGAAAUGCGUAGAUAUAGGAAGGAACACCAGUGGCGAAGGCGACCACCUGGGCUCAUACUGACACUGAGGUGCGAAAGCGUGGGAGCAAACAGG
rnacentral:rRNA from 1 species